AACGAACGCUGGCGGCGUGCCUAACACAUGCAAGUCGAGCGCGAAAGGGGCAACCCGAGUAGAGCGGCGCACGGGUGCGUAACACGUGGGUAAUCUGCCUCGAGGAGCCGGAUAACCAUCCGAAAGGAUGGCUAAUACGGCAUAAGCCCCCGGAGUCUUCGGACUCUGAGGGAAAAGGGUGGCCUCUGUUUACAAGCUACCGCCUUGAGAUGAGCCCGCGGCCCAUCUGCUAGUUGGCGGGGUAAUGGCCCACCAAGGCAACGACGGGUAGCUGGUCUGAGAGGACGAUCAGCCACACUGGAACUGGGACACGGUCCAGACUCCUACGGGAGGCAGCAGUGGGGAAUUUUGCGCAAUGGGCGAAAGCCUGACGCAGCAACGCCGCGUGUGUGAUGAAGGUCUUCGGAUUGUAAAGCACUUUCGACCGGGACGAAAAAGCGGGUGCUAAUCAGCCCGCCUUGACGGUACCGGGAGAAGAAGCACCGGCUAACUCUGUGCCAGCCGCCGCAGUAAGAC
rnacentral:rRNA from 1 species